AUACCACUAUUCAUAGAGACAACUAAUGGCAUCUCUCUCGAUUUCCAGAUGUUGAGUUACUAAGAGGAUUCUCUCCACACUUCAAUUCGUACUUCCACUACCAAAAUAUAAUCUCCUGUUCUAAUGUUCUAGGGUUUUUCGCGUUUUUUCAGGAGAAAUCCGUAUAUCGAUGUUUUUAAAAUCUACGCUAUUGGAUUCAACGUCCAGGACUUCCUGACGUUUAAUAACGAUUUCUACUUCCAGCAGCCAUUUUGGUUCAGCUACAAGUUCACUGUCAACUACCAUGUUACGACUUCGCACCGACUGUUUUCUUUUACCUCACGAGUCGAUCAGGAAGGUUUCAUCCUUAAAUCUCGUAACCAUGCCAACACAUAAGAACUUUUUAGGGAAGUUAAGGUGCUCAGGGUCUUACCGUCGGGCCGUAUGAUUCCACAUAUUCAUGGAUAAUUCUAUUUAUUAGGAGUCUCACACUAGCGACAAUGGGGAAGUCGUUACACCGUUCAUGCAGGACGGAGAUUACCCGACAAGGAAUUUUGCUACCUUAGGACCGUUUACGAUACAGCCGCCGUUUAUCAUUGAUGCCGGGCAGAUGUCAGUAACUUGAACUAUUCAUCGGAAUUAUCAGUGACUUGUGUUGUAACCUUACAGACGCUUCCAGAAUAUAACUUCUUAUAAAUGGUAGCGCCGGUUUCCCGGGUAUCCAAUCCAGUGCUCCAUUCAAGGCAUAGAGACUCAGCCUGUGUUCAACUUUGUAGGAUAUAUAAUAUAGCUUUUGGUAUCUCGUAAUGUAGAACAAUAAUGGGUUGACCGUCAAAUCCUUUUCAUUAAAAGAGUGGACUAAUGCCCAGCCAACACCAUCCAAUUUGAUUGGGAAUAAUCUGUGUUACAAUACUUUUUGAUCCCAGGCUGGUAAAAAAUGUAAACUUUUAGCCCAAAAGAAUAGAAACAGAUGCCAGGCCAAAAACCCAAAAAUAGAGCUAUGACGCUAUCAAUUUGACAAGGCAGAUAAAUUCUUUCAUAGAACUUAACGUUUCAUCCUCCAUACAUAAAUAAAACGGUAGAUAGGGAACAAACUGCCUCAAGACGUUCUUAACCCAGCUCACGCAUCGCUUCUAACGGUGAACUCUCAUUCCAAUGGAACCUUGUUCAAGUUCAAAUAGAUUGGUAAGGUAUAGCGUUUACUAUCGAAUGAAACAAUGUAUUCCACCGCUAGUGUUUGCUUCUAACAUUCCACUUGCUUAUAACUGUAUGGACGUAACCUCCAGGCAAAGAAAAUGACCGGUCAAAACGGAAUCAGUUAACUAUGGAUAGCUGAUACUAACAAUUUAUCAUUACUCAAGUCAGCAUAGUCUAUAUGAAGGUU
rnacentral:rRNA from 1 species